CCCGUGGCCGGGUUGGGCAGGAAGCAGAUAGACGUGGCCAUCAAGGUGCUGAAGCAGGGCACGGAGAAGGCGGACACGGAGGAGAUGAUGCGCGAGGCGCAGAUCAUGCACCAGCUGGACAACCCCUACAUCGUGCGGCUCAUUGGCGUCUGCCAGGCCGAGGCCCUCAUGCUGGUCAUGGAGAUGGCUGGCGGCGGGCCGCUGCACAAGUUCCUGGUCGGCAAGAAGGAGGAGAUCCCCGUGAGCAAUGUGGCCGAGCUGCUGCACCAGGUGUCCAUGGGGAUGAAGUACCUGGAGGAGAAGAACUUUGUGCACCGUGACCUGGCGGCCCGCAAUGUCCUGCUGGUUAACCGGCACUACGCCAAGAUCAGCGACUUUGGCCUCUCCAAAGCACUGGGUGCCGACGACAGCUACUACACUGCCCGCUCAGCAGGGAAGUGGCCGCUCAAGUGGUACGCACCCGAGUGCAUCAACUUCCGCAAGUUCUCCAGCCGCAGCGAUGUCUGGAGCUACGGGGUCACCAUGUGGGAGGCCUUGUCCUACGGCCAGAAGCCCUACAAGGCAGGCGCGGGCAGAGGCGGGUGGGCGGUGUGGUGGGGAGGGGGAGGAGGAGGAGGACCCUGGUCACUCACAGGUGUCUCGGCCCCGGCUUGAGCAGAAGAUGAAAGGGCCGGA
rnacentral:sRNA from 1 species